rnacentral:lncRNA from 1 species
GUUAGUUCUUGUUUCUUGCACAGCAGCUCAAAUGCACAUUAAAAGAAGAGUCAUUCUCUUAGCUACCUCAUUCCCAAAAGUCUGGUGUGCCCUUUCAGAGUGAGCAAGGGGCCAGGACUGCUUUUCAUCUCCGGAAAGGGACGGAGGCUACACUUGGGGAGGGGAGGAGUUUGGUUUUUGAAGUUCUCCUCUUCAGGAAGGCCAAUGGAACAUUCUUUUUCUCUGGUCAGGGCUGUUUGAGGCAGGAAGACUUGAGACCAGAAACAGACAUAACAGACUGCUUAUCACAGCUGAAAGAGAGAGGCUGCAUCUGACAUUGAGGUUAAAAAAGA